CAUGGGGGGAGCUCCCGUUAUUCGCCCCAGCUCCUGCCAACCUAGCAGUUCAAAAGCAUGCUAAUGCAAGUAGGUAAACAGGUACCAUUUGGUGGGAAGGUAAUAAGUUUCCAUGCACGAAAACAUCUAGUCAUGCCAGUCACAUGACCAU